GAUGAACGCUGGCGGCGUGCCUAAUACAUGCAAGUCGAGCGAACAGACGAGGAGCUUGCUCCUCUGACGUUAGCGGCGGACGGGUGAGUAACACGUGGAUAACCUACCUAUAAGACUGGGAUAACUUCGGGAAACCGGAGCUAAUACCGGAUAAUAUAUUGAACCGCAUGGUUCAAUAGUGAAAGACGGUUUUGCUGUCACUUAUAGAUGGAUCCGCGCCGCAUUAGCUAGUUGGUAAGGUAACGGCUUACCAAGGCAACGAUGCGUAGCCGACCUGAGAGGGUGAUCGGCCAUACUGGAACUGAGACACGGUCCAGACUCCUACGGGAGGCAGCAGUAGGGAAUCUUCCGCAAUGGGCGAAAGCCUGACGGAGCAACGCCGCGUGAGUGAUGAAGGUCUUCGGAUCGUAAAACUCUGUUAUUAGGGAAGAACAAAUGUGUAAGUAACUAUGCACGUCUUGACGGUACCUAAUCAGAAAGCCACGGCUAACUACGUG
rnacentral:rRNA from 1 species